rnacentral:rRNA from 1 species
GGUAAUUCUAGAGCUAAUACAUGCUAAAAAUCCCGACUUCGGAAGGGAUGUAUUUAUUAGAUUAAAAACCAAUGCCCUUCGGGGCUCUCUGGUGAUUCAUGAUAACUUCUCGAAUCGCAUGGCCUUGUGCCGGCGAUGGUUCAUUCAAAUUUCUUCCCUAUCAACUUUCGAUGUUUGGGUAUUGGCCAAACAUGGUUGCAACGGGUAACGGAGGGUUAGGGCUCGACCCCGGAGAAGGAGCCUGAGAAACGGCUACUACAUCCAAGGAAGGCAGCAGGCGCGCAAAUUACCCAAUCCCGACACGGGGAGGUAGUGACAAUAAAUACUGAUACAGGGCUCUUUUGGGUCUUGUAAUUGGAAUGAGUACAAUUUAAAUCCCUUAACGAGGAACAAUUGGAGGGCAAGUCUGGUGCCAGCAGCCGCGGUAAUUCCAGCUCCAAUAGCGUAUAUUAAAGUUGUUGUGGUUAAAAAGCUCGUAGUUGAACCUUGGGCCUGGCUGGCCGGUCCGCCUCACCGCGUGUACUGGUCCGGCCGGGCCUUUCCCUCUGUGGAACCCCAUGCCCUUCACUGGGUGUGGCGGGGAAACAGGACUUUUACUUUGAAAAAAUUAGAGUGCUCCAGGCAGGCCUAUGCUCGAAUACAUUAGCAUGGAAUAAUAGAAUAGGACGUGUGGUUCUAUUUUGUUGGUUUCUAGGACCGCCGUAAUGAUUAAUAGGGACAGUCGGGGGCAUCAGUAUUCAAUUGUCAGAGGUGAAAUUCUUGGAUUUAUUGAAGACUAACUACUGCGAAAGCAUUUGCCAAGGAUGUUUUCAUUAAUCAGGAACGAAAGUUAGGGGAUCGAAGACGAUCAGAUACCGUCGUAGUCUUAAC